CAGUCGCCGCGGGAAUACAGAGGGUGCAAGCGUUAAUCGGAAUUACUGGGCGUAAAGCGCGCGUAGGUGGUUUGUUAAGUUGGAUGUGAAAUCCCCGGGCUCAACCUGGGAACUGCAUCCAAAACUGGCAGGCUAGAGUAGGGCAGAGGGUGGUGGAAUUUCCUGUGUAGCGGUGAAAUGCGUAGAUAUAGGAAGGAACACCAGUGGCGAAGGCGACCACCUGGGCUCAUACUGACACUGAGGUGCGAAAGCGUGGGGAGCAAACAGGAUUAGAUACCCCCGUAGUCCCUGUCUCUUAUAC
rnacentral:rRNA from 1 species